GGUUGUGGCUCAGUGGUAGAGUGCUUGCCUCGAAUAUGAGGCACUGGGUUCAAUUCUCAGCAUCA
rnacentral:tRNA from 1 species